UACCCACCCACAGGGCCCACUGGGCGUUAGCACACUGGUAUCGCGGUACCUUUGUGCGCCUGUUUUAU
rfam:Human echovirus 6 strain Kh7/92 5' non-translated region, partial sequence.